GACGUAGGAGGCGAGCGUUAUCCGGAUUCACUGGGCGUAAAGCGCAUGUAGGCGGAUGUCUAAGUCGUGUGUUAAAGCCCCUGGCUCAACUGGGGGAGGUCAUGCGAGACUGGAUGACUUGAGGGCAACAGAGGCACGUGGAACUCCCGGUGUAGCGGUGGAAUGCGUAGAGAUCGGGAAGAACACCCGUGGCGAAGGCGGCAUCCUGGACCGGGAUUGACACUGAGGCGCGAAAGCCAGGGGAGCAAACGGG
rnacentral:rRNA from 1 species